UCCCUGGUGGUACAGUGGUAAGACUCUGUGUUCUAAUGCAGGAGGCCUGGGUUCAAUCCCCGGUCAGGGAA
rnacentral:tRNA from 1 species